GGCGGUUUGACCUGUUUUCAGCCACCAGGUGCAAACCAAUGGUUUGCUGUGUGCAGGUGACAGGGCUGGUCCAGCUCCUCAUUGACCACCAUGAGGAGCUGUUUGAGGAGGAGGAGUAGCCUGGGCUUGCUGGUUCAUCGACCGCCGACACGCCAGGGCAGAAACUGCCAAGGUGUCCCCGGUAGGUCCCGAAAGUGAACAUCUGAAGAGCUCUUCUGGGGAGAGAAGGACCUACUGGUUCUCCUGCAGGAACACGGGCCAUCCACGGAGGAGAUCUUUCUACUGGCAGCCCGCAAGUGCACCUCCUGGUUGCUCUGGAAGGCCCUCUGCAGUGGAGCACAUGUCCACCUUGAAGGCCAGCCAGUGCACCUCCUGGCUGUCAUCCUACAGGAGUUUCUCUGCAAAAUCCCCUCCCAGCUCCUCCAGACAGAGCUCUACCAGGACUGGAUGAGCGCCCUGCAGAAGACCAGCAGGCAGGAGAGGCUAGCGGGGCUAAUGGA